rnacentral:lncRNA from 1 species
GUACUUCCCAUGUCACAGGCCAGGGCUGAAGAGGAACUCUGCUGACGAUGCUGGGCUCUCCCAGGGCCUAGCCAGGCCUGGUGGGAAUUUCAGGGGAAGAAGAACUACUCACAGAACCCUUAAGAGUUGCAAAUUCUUUUGGGGCAGGCCCUGACCCCACACCAAGCUGUAAGAAUGAAAAACUGGGUAACUCACAGUCAUUUCACCCUCCCCCUACUCAAGUGCCAGCCCCCUCCUCCCGGAUGUGGUGAGGCCCAGCUGCAAGUGGGGCCCUGGGACACUCCUAGGUUGGGGGCAAGAAAUGUUGGUAGGUGGCUGAACUCUAUCUGAAGCAGGUGCAGUGGGUGGGGACAGUGUUCAGAAUCCAGCCCCCAAAUCUUUAGUCCUCUGUACCUUCUGUAAGACCCUUCCAGCUUCCCUGCAGACCCUGUUUCCACUGUCUUGGAGGCCUAUAACUAGAGGCUGUGUGGACCCCCAGCAUGAGGGACAAAUUACAGAGCGUGAAGGGGGACCAUCAUGUCUAGUCUUGCUGAACAGAGUCACCUGCCAUGCCUGGAGCCACAGUCUUCCAGCUGUGGAGAAGGAGGAAGCCCUGCUAGCUGAGGUCCCUGCUGCAGCAAUGAAAUCAGCUUAGCUCUGUGGGAAACUCCAGCCGCCUUGACCCUGGUGCUAGACUGAGCUGCUGGGCCUCCUUGCAGGGUGACAGUAUGUGGCUCAGAGUUUGUCGGGUGCCUCGGUCUUUGCAUGUGAGCCAGUGUGGACCUGUCACACAUACGUCCCAAAGCCACUGAACCUUUUCAGCUCUGGCACACACAGAUGAACUCAAGGAGACCAGACUUAACCAUAAAAGAGUAGCUUGUCUUCCUCUUCUGCUGGAGCCUCAAAGCAGGGGGAAACCCCACCUUCAAUACCUGGUGAAAGCCCAAGACUGGAGUAGAAGAGCCCACAUGCCUCCCCAGCUCCUGUUCUGACUAAAAAUCCCCCGAUGCCACCACCAAUGAGUCAUCUGUAGGAUGUCUGCUACCCCUCGCUACCUCCUCAGGACCCUGUUUCUCCAGAGCCAUUCACUGGGAGCCUGCCGAGAG